GACGAACGCUGGCGGCGUGCCUAAUACAUGCAAGUAGAGCGCUGACUACUUUAGCUUGCUAGAGUAGAAGGAGUUGCGAACGGGUGAGUAACGCGUGAGAAACCUGCCUUUCAGUGGGGGACAACAGUGGGAAACUACUGCUAAUACCGCAUAAUGUUAUUUGGGGGCAUCCCCGAAUAACCAAAGAUUUAUUGCUGAAAGAUGGUCUCGCGUCUGAUUAGCUAGUUGGUGAGGUAACGGCUCACCAAGGCGACGAUCAGUAGCCGGUCUGAGAGGAUGAACGGCCACAAGGGGACUGAGACACGGCCCUU
rnacentral:rRNA from 1 species